UGACAGGGUGAUUGAUGGCAGGCAUCUCUGU
rnacentral:piRNA from 1 species